rnacentral:rRNA from 1 species
AGGCCUAACACAUGCAAGCCGAGCGGUAUAGAUCUUUCGGGAUCUAGAGAGCGGCGUACGGGUGCGGAACACGUGUGCAACCUGCCUUUAUCUGGGGGAUAGCCUUUCGAAAGGGAGAUUAAUACCCCAUAAUAUAUCAGAUGGCAUCAUUUUAUAUUGAAAACUCCGGUGGAUAGAGAUGGGCACGCGCAAGAUUAGAUAGUUGGUGAGGUAACGGCUCACCAAGUCUACGAUCUUUAGGGGGCCUGAGAGGGUGAUCCCCCACACUGGUACUGAGACACGGACCAGACUCCUACGGGAGGCAGCAGUGAGGAAUAUUGGACAAUGGGUGAGAGCCUGAUCCAGCCAUCCCGCGUGAAGGACGACGGCCCUAUGGGUUGUAAACUUCUUUUGUAUAGGGAUAAACCUAGAUACGUGUAUCUAGCUGAAGGUACUAUACGAAUAAGCACCGGCUAACUCCGUGCCAGCAGC